GCUGGAGCGUCGACGAUGCCAAGAAGGAGAAAUAAGGAGGAGGAUUAAAUUUACGGCUGCACUUUAAAGCUCUUAAAGUAAAAGCUAAGUAAUGUGUUUAAGAAGAGCAAAUCUUCUGCAGAAGUGUGCUGGCAGUUAAAGACAGAAGUAGGUCAGCUGCGGACCACGUGGGCGGGCAGGGGACGUGGAAAUUUGAACGGGGGGGACCAGGAGAAGGAGGCACAUCAUCAUAAAGAAAGAUCUUAGCAGCAUGUCGUACCGAUGAGGCUGCCCUUGGCGACGUGAAACUCGUUGCGUCCAGAAGCGAUCCAGACACCGCUGCUGUUGACGCUGAUGAGGCUGGGCUGGCACUGGGAAUGCUGGGAAAGGAAAGCCACGCGGAGACGCUCCGCCACCCGCUCCACUGGAGCUCUAGUGACAGUAGCUACGGUCUGUGUGGCCUGGAUCAGAGUCUGGAAGAGACUGCCUUGAUCAAACACCACAUAGUCUGUGAUGCUCACCUAUAUUGAAAGAAACAAAUAACUGAAGGAGAACAAUCAGAGAGUCACCUGUGUAGUUUUUAGCGUGAUAUUUUGGUAAAUCUAAAUAUGGUUCUGGUAGGAUAUGGCACUAAAAUACUCAAGGUACUUUUAAAAAUGUAAAGCAAUACAUCUAAAAUGCAGUUGUCACAUAGUUUGUUAAUGAUGCCAAAAAAGUUAAGGGAUAGUUCACCCAAAUAUUUUUUACAAACCUGUAUGCUUUGUUUU